CAGGUGGUGCAUGGUUGUCGUCAGCUCGUGUCGUGAGAUGUUGGGUUAAGUCCCGCAACGAGCGCAACCCUCGCCUUUAGUUGCCAUCAUUUAGUUGGGCACUCUAGAGGAACUGCCGGUGAUAAGCCGGAGGAAGGUGGGGAUGACGUCAAGUCCUCAUGGCCCUUAUGGGCUGGGCUACACACGUGCUACAAUGGCGAGUACAAAGAGCAGCUACUAGGUGACUAGAUGCUAAUCUCAAAAGCUCGUCUCAGUUCGGAUCGGAGUCUGCAACUCGACUCCGUGAAGUCGGAAUCGCUAGUAAUCGUGAAUCAGAAUGUCACGGUGAAUACGUUCCCGGGCCUUGUACACACCGCCCGUCGCACCAUGGGAGUUGGUUUUACCCGAAGGUGGUGCGCUAACCGUAAGGAGGCAGCCAACCACGGUAAGGUCAGCGACUGGGGUGAAGUCGGAACAAGGUAGCCGUAGGGGAACCUGCGGCUGGAUCAC
rnacentral:rRNA from 11 species